AUGAGCUGCUUUACUCCAAAAGUGCUGUCUGGUAUGAAUCACUUCCUUACUUGUCCUCCUAUCGUUCGGUCUCUGGCACAACAAACUUCCGCAACAUUGCUGGCAACAGCUGAUGAAAACCUGUCAUUUCCUACUCCUCCGCGAUCUGCUUGUAUUCAGAAGGGAAAAAACAAAGUCAUCUUUCCAAAAGAACAAAACCUAGCAUCAAUGAAGUCUUUGUUGAACUGUUAUCAAGGUGAACGAGAUAUUUCGUUGUAUGCCUUUCUUCAAGGAUAA